UGCAGUCGAACGGUGAAGCAGAGCUUGCUCUGUGGAUCAGUGGCGAACGGGUGAGUAACACGUGAGUAACCUGCCCUUGACUCUGGGAUAAGCGUUGGAAACGACGUCUAAUACCGGAUACGACCCUCAACCGCAUGGUUAGGGGGUGGAAAGAUUUUUUGGUCAAGGAUGGACUCGCGGCCUAUCAGCUUGUUGGUGAGGUAAUGGCUCACCAAGGCGACGACGGGUAGCCGGCCUGAGAGGGUGACCGGCCACACUGGGACUGAGACACGGCCCAGACUCCUACGGGAGGCAGCAGUGGGGAAUAUUGCACAAUGGGCGCAAGCCUGAUGCAGCAACGCCGCGUGAGGGAUGACGGCCUUCGGGUUGUAAACCUCUUUUAGUAGGGAAGAAGCGAAAGUGACGGUACCUGCAGAAAAAGCACCGGCUAACUACGUGCCAGCAGCCGCGGUAAUACGUAGGGUGCAAGCGUUGUCCGGAAUUAUUGGGCGUAAAGAGCUCGUAGGCGGUUUGUCGCGUCUGCUGUGAAAACUGGAGGCUCAACCUCCAGCCUGCAGUGGGUACGGGCAGACUAGAGUGCGGUAGGGGAGAUUGGAAUUCCUGGUGUAGCGGUGGAAUGCGCAGAUAUCAGGAGGAACACCGAUGGCGAAGGCAGAUCUCUGGGCCGUAACUGACGCUGAGGAGCGAAAGCGUGGGGAGCGAACAGGAUUAGAUACCCUGGUAGUCCACGCCGUAAACGUUGGGAACUAGAUGUGGGGACCAUUCCACGGUCUCCGUGUCGCAGCUAACGCAUUAAGUUCCCCGCCUGGGGAGUACGGCCGCAAGGCUAAAACUCAAAGGAAUUGACGGGGGCCCGCACAAGCGGCGGAGCAUGCGGAUUAAUUCGAUGCAACGCGAAGAACCUUACCAAGGCUUGACAUAUACGAGAACGGGCCAGAAAUGGUCAACUCUUUGGACACUCGUAAACAGGUGGUGCAUGGUUGUCGUCAGCUCGUGUCGUGAGAUGUUGGGUUAAGUCCCGCAACGAGCGCAACCCUCGUUCUAUGUUGCCA
rnacentral:rRNA from 1 species